rnacentral:rRNA from 1 species
CAGCCGCCGCGGGAAUACGAAGGGGGCUAGCGUUGCUCGGAAUCACUGGGCGUAAAGGGUGCGUAGGCGGGUCUUUAAGUCAGGGGUGAAAUCCUGGAGCUCAACUCCAGAACUGCCUUUGAUACUGAAGAUCUUGAGUUCGGGAGAGGUGAGUGGAACUGCGAGUGUAGAGGUGAAAUUCGUAGAUAUUCGCAAGAACACCAGUGGCGAAGGCGGCUCACUGGCCCGAUACUGACGCUGAGGCACGAAAGCGUGGGGAGCAAACAGGAUUAGAGACCCCCGUAGUCCCUGUCUCUUAUAC